GACGAACGCUGGCGGCGUGCUUAACACAUGCAAGUCGAACGGAAAGGCCCUGCUUUUGUGGGGUGCUCGAGUGGCGAACGGGUGGGUAACACGUGAGUAACCUGCCCUUGACUUUGGGAUAACUUCAGGAAACUGGGGCUAAUACCGGAUAGGAGCUCCUGCUGCAUGGUGGGGGUUGGAAAGUUUCGGCGGUUGGGGAUGGACUCGCGGCUUAUCAGCUUGUUGGUGGGGUAGUGGCUUACCAAGGCUUUGACGGGUAGCCGGCCUGAGAGGGUGACCGGCCACAUUGGGACUGAGAUACGGCGCAGACUCCUACGGGAGGCAGCAGUGGGGAAUAUUGCACAAUGGGCGGAAGCCUGAUGCAGCAACGCCGCGUGCGGGAUGACGGCCUUCGGGUUGUAAACCGCUUUCGCCUGUGACGAAGCGUGAGUGACGGUAAUGGGUAAAGAAGCACCGGCUAACUACGUG
rnacentral:rRNA from 1 species